UUACUUUAUUGCAUCUUUAUCUACGCACGUCUUUACCAGUCCGUCGUCGUUUUUGGAGUGCCCAUUGAAAAAUGUACGGUCCACGUAACUUUCGUUGCGGCCUACAGUUUCUACACGGGGACUACAUUCAAUUCCGUGAGAAAACGGGAAGAAAUUGCAGAAUUUCUUACCAACUUUUUUAAAGUCGAUGGUUUAUUCAAGCCUCUAAAACAUCAAGAAGCAAAAAUCAAAGAGUUUGGAAAAUUGGUGCGGCUUUUAUAUUUUCUGUGCAUUAACACCGGCAUUCUUCACGCUCCUUUGUUUCUCGCUCUGUCCAACAAUGCAAAUUUCAUAUUUUCUGUUCUGUCACCACAUUUUAUCCGGUUUCCGCUCUUGUAUCCUGUAUUAAAAUUCUGCUUUGCCAUGUUGGAAAUGCUGAUGGGAUUAGCAGCUUGGGGUGAGCAUGGACAUUCCAAUUACAUAAAUUAUUACAUAGAAGGACUUAAUGCUAUUGUAGUUUUGUGUCAUGUAUGAAAUUACUUAUGACAGGUGCAUCUGCUGUUGUGUAUACGAUAAGCUUCUGCGUCGUGGCCAAUAGUUUACCUGCAUGGGCGGAAGUGAUGAAGUUAGUAAUUUUAAAAAUUAUUUAUUGAUCCAUUCAUAUUUAAACUUCAAACGAUCCAUAUUUAUGUCUGUAUGUUGUGCAGAAGUGUAUAGUUUCCUAAUUUGAUAGAUAUGAUGUAACCUGGCGAGCUAUACCCCUGCCUCGCCAACGAUACUAUCGAAUUGUGCAACUUUUGAUGCUACAAUUCAACGAUUGUUUUGCAUAUGACGCAUUUCUAACGAUUAGUGCAUUAUCAUACGUUGGAAUGGUUAUCUGCGCAUUUGCGACAAUACGAUAUUACGGCGUAAUCCCGUUUUUGGCGUACGCCGUGUUUCCUACAGCAGCCAUUUUAAUAGCUCUCUACGUCUUUCUUCUCUAUCCAAGUGCCGGAAGAGCGUCAGAGUCUCAUACGAGGAUGGUGAGACAGUGGGGGUAUAUCGAGUCUCACAUAAAAACAGAGCGCCUGGAAGGAAAUUCAGAAACGAGUCAGCCCCACAGAUCACGUAACUGGGGCAUAAUAGCAAGAGCCCAAGAAUUUAACAAGAGAAAGUACAACCUGGCAUUUCUUCGCUCUUGUCGCCAAAUUGGGUUUCAAGUCGGUCCCCUCUUCAAUGUUAAACCUGGAACAACACUCAACUUCGCAGACAUGGUGAUUGAUCAGUUAAUUAACUGUCUGAUUUCAUUUUAGAUAUGCACCUUAUGAAAAACUGUUGAACUUGAACAAUUAAAUAAAAAGUUAUUGGUAGCUAUUUACGUAAUACAGAUGUACGCAAUACAGACGAACGUAUGCUUUAAUUGCUCAGUUUCUUUCCUUAUCUGCAUAUCUAAAUAUGUACAUGAAUUAAGUAAAAUUCUGCAGAACAUGACGAACUUAUUGCAGAAUAUCGCUCGAUUGA